rnacentral:rRNA from 1 species
GUGAGGAAUAUUGCGCAAUGGAGGCAACUCUGACGCAGCCAUGCCGCGUGCAGGAAGAAGGCGCUACGCGUUGUAAACUGCUUUUAACCGGGAAGAAACCCCAGGACGUGUCCUGGGUUGACGGUACCGGAGGAAUAAGCACCGGCUAACUUCGUGCCAGCAGCCGCGGUAAUACGAAGGGUGCAAGCGUUAUCCGGAUUCAUUGGGUUUAAAUGGUGCGUAGGCGGAGCGUUAAGUCAGUGGUGAAAUCCUGCAGCUUAACUGUAGACUUGCCAUUGAUACUGGCGCUCUUGAGUGCGCUUGAAGUGGGCGGAAUGUGCCGUGUAGCGGUGAAAUGCUUAGAUAUGGCACAGAACACCAAUUGCGAAGGCAGCUCACUAAGGCGAUACUGACGCUGAGGCACGAAAGCGUGGGGAGCAAACAGGAUUAGAAACCCGUGUAGUCC